UUGAAAUCAGUAGGUAUCGUCAAAUGGUUUAGAAUGGGGCAAAUGGAGGUGAGGUGUUGCAUAAUGGUGAUACUUAUAUUGUAGAUUUGAAGAGUCAUACAUGUCCAUGUAGAAUGUGGGAGGUGUCUGGUAUUCCUUGUUUUCAUGCUAUAUGUGCAAUCAAUGAUCUUGGAAAGAAUCCAUAUGAUUACAUUUCUAGUUGGUUUAAGAAGUUCACCUAUUUAGAGGCAUACACACACAUGCUUACUCUUGUGAAUAACAGGAAAUUUUUAAAGAAAUCAUGAAAAGGAGCACCUCUCCCAACCAAAAAUGAAAGAAAACUAGGAAGACCACGUAAGAAUAGGAUUAAAGAGGAUGGUGAACCAAACAGUGGAAGUACAUAACUGAGUAGAAAAGGUAGGAUAAUGACAUGUCAAGCUUGUUUUGAAAAAGGUCAUAAUAGGAACACUUGCAAGCUUAUACAAAUGAAUAGUCAUAGUGCACUAGUUAGAGGAGAUGAUGGUAUGGUAUUCAUUCCUGUACCAACUUUCAAUAGAGGGACUCUUGAGUCGAAGAUGACAAGCAAUGUCAUAGAAACACCGGUGAAUGUAGCAACAGACGAUCCUUUGAGGCCAUCCAAUUCUGAGAUAAGAAGGGGCAGAAGUCAGCAACAACAACGAGAUAACUCAAUAGAUAUUGGACCUCAAGUUGAACAAAAUACAGGAAUUCAACAAACCUCAACACUGAUUUUCAAUAAGUAGAUAUACUAUAAGUCUAGGAAGAGACGGGCACAAAAAAGGAACAUUGAGGCAGUUGCAGUUGCAAUGUCAGCACAAGUUGGAGUUGUUACAAGAAAGAAGAAUAAAGCUAUCAAUGACCAAGCAAAUGAUUAUGUAGGCACUCAAGAAUCAACAGCAAGGCAGUGAUGGAAAGAAAGAAGAAGAAAUAUGAUUUUGUGUAUUAUUGACUCUUGUGCUCCAUAUUUUGUAGUUAAGCCCAUUGUUCUUUAAGCAAGGCAAGAAAUGAUUAUGCUUGCUGUUGAACUUAUUUUGUAGGAAUGAUAGCCAUUGUCAAACUUUAAGAUGCAAUUAUUCGCUGCAAAAGUUGAACAAUUUAUGU